GACGAACGCUGGCGGCGUGCUUAACACAUGCAAGUCGAACGGAAAGGCCCUGCUUGCAGGGCACUCGAGUGGCGAACGGGUGAGUAACACGUGGGUGAUCUGCCCUGCACUUCGGGAUAAGCCUGGGAAACUGGGUCUAAUACCGGAUAGGAGCCAUUUUUAGUGUGAUGGUUGGAAAGUUUUUUCGGUGUAGGAUGAGCUCGCGGCCUAUCAGCUUGUUGGUGGGGUAAUGGCCUACCAAGGCGGCGACGGGUAGCCGGCCUGAGAGGGUGGACGGCCACAUUGGGACUGAGAUACGGCCCAGACUCCUACGGGAGGCAGCAGUGGGGAAUAUUGCACAAUGGGCGCAAGCCUGAUGCAGCGACGCCGCGUGGGGGAUGACGGCCUUCGGGUUGUAAACUCCUUUCGCUAGGGACGAAGCUUUUUGUGACGGUACCUAGAGAAGAAGCACCGGCUAACUACGUG
rnacentral:rRNA from 1 species